CUUUAGUUUAAUCUUCAAUUAAUCUCAAUGGCGCUUCUGUCGAACCAUGAUUUACCAACGAAACUGCAAGGACAAUCAAUGGGAGAUUUAGCAAGAAGAUGUAGAAGAGUUCAAAUUUUGUGAAAAAUUUUCAUUAUAUCUUUUCGCUCAAGAACAACUACGCACGCCGAUUCAAUGUGGGCAAACUUUAAUAUUCUUAUACCCACGCACCUGUAUCGGUAAGUAAAUUGGGAUAAAAACUCUCCUGGAGUCAA